rnacentral:rRNA from 1 species
GACGAACGCUGGCGGCGUGCCUAACACAUGCAAGUCGAGCGGGGUCCAUCCAGUGGCAACACUGGUGAAGACCUAGCGGCGAACGGGUGAGUAACACGUGAGAAACCUGCCCUGAAGUCU